CGCCCCUCGCCACCUCGAAGCUCCGCCCCUGGGGGAGACGCCCACCCUCUGGUGCGAGCUCACUGGCUAUCUCGCCUGACUGUCCCGUGGAGGGGCGGAGCCUCGCCUCCAGUCCUCUUCCACGGCCGCCUCUGUUUAUCCGCUUGCCAUUGGCCCCGGGGACUGCCAGUCGGCUCUAGGGAUGGACUCUAACUUGAGGUCUCAUCCUAACAUUGCAUCUAUUGGCAGAUAGAAAGUUACUUCCUCCUGAUUGGACAAGGCUCUGUCAGUAAGACUAAGGAAAAAACCAAUGGAAGGGAUGGGGUGUGUCUUGCCCCACCCUUGCUCUGAGCAGCUCUGAAAAAUAGUUAGGAUGAGAAAACGACCCUCAUUGUAAAGAUGAAGAAACCGAAGUUCAGAGAAGUCACAAAACUACAAAGUGGCACACCCCAAGCUAGAACCUCCUUCCUCUCAUUUGAAGGACCAUCAAACCAGCUGUUCCCCUCAUGGAAGAGGAGCAUAGACAUAAAAUGUCAAGGCAAUGGGGAAGGGGCAGAGAAAAGGCACAAACACUUGGAGGAGAGACAGAACAAUUAAUUGGCACAAAAAUACAGUAUUGGUGUCAGGAGGCUUUGGUGGGCUUGGAAACAUCAAGCAGCAGAUCUGAAGGAAAUCCAGCCCUGGCAUGAAAGAAACGGGGCAGGCCAGGCGCAGUGGCUCACUCCUGUAAUCUCAGCAUUUUGGGAGGCAAAGGCGGGUGGAUCACCUGAGGUCGGGAGUUCAACACCAGCCUGGCCAAUAUGGUGAAGCCCCAUCUCUACAAAAAAUACAAAAAGUUAGCCGAGCGUGGUGGCGGGCAACUAUAAUCCCAGCUGCCUGGGAGACUGAGGCAGGAGAAUUGCUUGAACCUGGGAGGCGGAGGUUGCAGUGAGCCGAGACCAUGUCACUGCACUCCAGCCUGGGCAUGACAGAGCGAGACUCCAUCUCAAACAAAAAAAAAAAAAAGAAAAGAAAAAAAUAAACCGGGCAGCACACCCCUCUGCGAUAGGAGAGCCUGGGGUAGAGAUCAGAGAGAACUUCUCGGCCAGGCGUGGUGGCUCAUGCCUGUAAUCCCAGCAAUUUGGGAGGCCAAGGUGGGCAGAUCACUUGAGGUCAGGAGUUCGAGACCAGCCUGGCCGACAUGGUGAAACCCCAUCUCUACUGAAAAUACAGAAAUUAGCCAGGCAUGGCAGCGGGCACCUGUAAUGCCAGCUACUCGGGAGGCUGAGGCAGGAGAAUGGCGUGAACCCGGGAGGCAGAGGUUGCAGUGAGCUGAGAUCAUGCCAUUGCACUCCAGCCUGGGUGACAGAGUGAGACUCUGUCUCAAAAAAAUAAAAAGGACUUCUCACAGGCAGCUUAAGAAGACAAGGGCACUUCCUUUCUGUGGUUGAUGACAUGAAUGCUGCUCGUGGCUGUAUGGUGUGCCAAGGGCCCUACAAACAUUCCUUCAUUCAACACUUGAGUAUUCAUUGUCAACUGUAUGUUAGGCACUGGUGAACACAGAAAAUAAAACCUGGUGACACAGGAAAUAAAAAUGAUCCCAACCUUCAAAGAGCUCAUAGAAGGAUAAGCAGAAGCAGCGUGUGUGGGUGGGUUUUGGAGGAGUGGUGGUUUAGAA
rnacentral:lncRNA from 1 species